GUUUCUCACCUUCUAAAGAACCGUAAUGCCAUUAAUUUGGUGUCACGGGGAAUUAGGACUGUUACCUUGAAAAAAUUAGAGUGUUUAAAGCAGGCUCACGCUUGAAUACAUUAGCAU
rnacentral:rRNA from 1 species